UUUCCGUAGGUGAACCUGCGGAAGGAUCAUUAAUGCAGAACCGAGGUGCGAGGAAUGUCGUAUACCCAACUGGUCGAGCACGCACGAGUGCCCCCACACCUAACUAUCAAACUCCUACGUGAACCACCGCGUGCGUCGCGCUUUGACGUGUUUGGAGGGGGGUUUCCGUAUUCACUCAAUGUUUGUAUGCAGUGUAUAACGAAGUUUUUGUGUUUGUGAUCACCCGUGCACUACAACUUUCAACAACGGAUAACUUGGCUGCCGCAGCGAUGAAGAACG
rnacentral:misc_RNA from 1 species